GCUUUCCUGCCGAGAGUGUUGAGGAAAAUGAAAGUGGCGGUGUCCAACAGCCGGCGUAUCAGCCGUCGGGGCGAGGGGCGCAGGGUGCGGGUCGGUGGGCCUGGGGCUAGCGAGCAGAGGCCACAGCCCGCGCCCGGCGAGAUGGCAGCAGGCCCUGGACUUCCCUGCACUGCAGGCCAUCGUGAGGCCACAGAGAAACAAGAAAAUGGACUCCCUCCUUCUGAGGACAAGAAUGCCAGCCACCAGCCAUGGGUGAGCUUAGAGGUUGACCAGAGUUUUUCUCUUAUUUGUUCUACAUUAUUUGGUUUUUGUGUGUGUGUGUGUGUAAGAAUUGGUGCAAAUCACACGUUUGAUGUUGAGGUAGUUUGUUGAUUUUCACAGUUUGUUUAUAAAAACAAAAAAACAAUAGCAGUGAAACCAGAAGUAUUACUAGAAUGUUGCAGAGGGGAUGCAGGGCAAGGGGGCCAUCCUCUGCAGUGUGAGUGUGGUGUCCCUUCCCUUCUGCUCCUUGGGCCUGUCCCCUUUUGUCAUCCUAGGAGGUGGUACCCACCCAGACAGUCCCUUUAAUUCAACAAGUGUGUGGUAAGCCAGAAAUAUGAGGUGUUCUUUGCGUGGACUUCAUUGGCCUUCUUCCAGUUGCUCAUAGGGUGGACUGUUCAUGUACUGCUGGAGAGCCAUCCCUGGCCCAGCAGGCCCAGGGUUUCUGUCUGCUUGCCAUGACUUUGCAGCCCUCUUGGAGGGCUUCUGCAUCUGAUCUUCCCUUUCAUCCCACAGCUGGUAAUUUCACAGCUCUAGUUUAUUGAUCCUAAGACUCCCCAUUUAGUGUUGUAAUCUGAGCAGUUUGAGUGGAGAUUGUUUAUAUUCUGUUUCCACCCUAUUUGUUAGCUUUACCCUCAAUAGACACUAAUUCUAAGUUUUAUAUUUGGGAAUAAGGGUACUUUCUGUCCUUAACGCUAAGGGCAACUACACCACUUAUUGGCAUUCUAACGAAGGGUCUAGCAAAAGCCUUCCUUGAUUAUCAGCAUCUUCUUGGUUUGGUGGUGUCCUUCCCUUACCUGCAACCCUUUAGGGCCCUGCCUGACAAAGUUUCUCUGACACCUUCCCUCAGUGUCGCAAGUCUUUCUUUGCGAGGAACUUGAUGAUCCCCACCUUCACCCAGCCUGUGCCAGCUUUGCCACAAGCCUCUGUGCGUUAGGCACCAUGCUCCACAGUUUACAUCUUAUUCAAUCUCCACAAAAACUUGGUCAAAUAAUUCUUUUGUUACAAAUAUGGAAACCAAGACUCAGAGAUUAGAUUACUCACAGAGCUAAAAUGUAGCAAGCCAGAGGGGCAGCCCAAGGUCUCUGUAGCUCUUGCCUCUUAUCAGAAAAUUAGGCUGACCACCUAUGGGUAGAAGAUGAAUUAUAUUUGUUCUUAUAGACUGAAAAAGGAACAAAGUGAAAUUAAUGGGAAACCACGUUAUAAUUCCCAAACAACCCCCAUCUCUAAAUUUACUAUCCUAAUUUUACACAGUAUUAUUUUUCUUUCUUAUUUUAUUUAACCUGAAUUGUUGGCACACACUGGUAAAAUUUGCCUUUAUUACUGUUUGCCUUAUGUGCAUCAUUAUGUGUACCACUUGACGCAAGGUAGUUUAAUUGUUCAUUUGAAGAACCUGUAACCUCCAUAAAUUGGAAAAGUUUGAUUUCAAAAAUUUGAAAACUCUUCUCUGUACCCAGGAGGUUCAGUGACUUGUUUGAGGAUGAAGACACUGACAAACCCUAAACUCCCUGAGCAUAACUCUGUCUCAGCCUAGUUCUAGUAACUGAGGCAACCCAAGUCUAAAUUGUCAAAAUCAACUGUUUUAUAAACCAGGUCACUCAUAAGUACCUGCUGAUACCUGAAUGUUUUAAAAUAUUACAGUUAAAACUGCGGUCAGUGAAAGAAAAGCUGUCCUUUGUUCUGUGGGACCUUUCUGAGCACUGCUUUGGGGCACUGAUUCUCAGGCCACUCAGGACAAAUAGCCUCAAGGAUGCAUUAACUCUGGAUGUUUCAAACUAAUAGACUUAUACAAUAGUCAGUCUCACAAGCAACAGUCACUAAUUUGAGAUUGUGGGGUAUUUUUUCCCGUGUCCUCUUUUUAAAAAAAAUUUACUGAAGUAUAGUUGAUUUAAAAUGUUGUGUUAAUUUCUGCUAUACAGCAAAGUACAGCAAUGUAUUCAGUUAUACAUAUAUAUAUUCUUUUCCAUUAUGGUUUAUCACAGGAUAUUGAAUAUAGUUCCCUGUGCUAUACAGUAGGACCUUGUUGUUAGUACACUUUAUAUAUAAUAGUUUGCAUCUGCUAAUCCCAAACUCCCAAUCGUUCCCUCUCCCAUCCCCCCUUCACCUUGGCAACCACAAGUCUGUUUUCUAUGACUGUGAAUCUGUUUCUGUUUCGUAGAUAUGUUCAUUUGUGUCGUACUUCAUUUUAUUUUUUUAAAUAAGGUUUAUUUUAUUUUUAAUUAAUUUAUUUUUGGCUGCAUUAGGUCUUCAUUGCUGCGUGCAGGUUUUCUCUAGUUGUGGCAAGCAGGGCUACUCUUCAUUGCGGUGUAUGGGUUUCUCAUUGUGGUAGCUUCUCUUGUUGCGGAGCACGGGCUGUAGGUGUGCGGGCUUCAGUAGUUGUGGCACAUGGGCUCAGUGGUUGUGGCUCACGGGUUCUAGAAUGUAGGAUCAGUAGUUGUGGCACACAGGCUUAGUUGCUCUGUGGCAUGUGGGAUCUUCCUGGACUAGGGCUCAAACCCAUGUCCCCUGCAUUGGCAGGUGGAUUCCUAACCACUGUGCCACCACGGAAGCCCUGUGUCGUAUUUUACAUUCCACAUGUGGGUGAUAUUAUAUGGUAUUUGUCUUUCUCUUUCUGACUUACUUAGUAUGAUAAUCUCUAGGUCCAUCCAUGUUGCAAGUGGCAUUAUUUUAUUCUUUAUGGCUGAGUAAUACUCCAUUGAAUAUACAUACUACAUGUUCUUUAUCCAUUCAUCUGUUGAUGGACAUUUAGGUUGCUUCCAUGUCUUGGCUAUUGUGAAUAGUGCUGCUAUGAAUAUAUGGGUGCAUAUAUUUUUCGAAUUAUAGUUUUGUCUGGGCAUAUGCCAAGGAAUGGGAUUGCUGGAUCAUAUGCCAACUCUGUUUUAGUUUUUUGAGGAAUCUCCAUACUGUUUUCCAUAGUGGCUGCACCAAUUUACAUUCCCACCAACUGUGUAGGAGGGUUCCCUUUUCUACGCCCCCAUCUUCAGCAUUUGUUAUUUGUAGACUUUUUAAUGAUGGCCAUUCUGACCAGUGUGAGGUGGUACCUCAUGGUAGUUUUGAUUUACAUUUCUCUAAUAAUUAGCGAUGAUCAGCAUCUUUUCAUGUGCCUAUUGGUCAUGUGUAUGUCUUCUUUGGAGAAAUAUCUAUUUAGGUUUUCUGCCCAGUUUUCAAUUGUGUUGUUAAUUUUUCUUUGUUAUUGAGUUGUAUGAGCUGUUUAUAAAUUUUGGAAAUUAAGCUCUUGUCGGUCGCAUCAUUUGCGAAUAUUUUCUCCCAGUCCAUAGGUCAUCUUUUUGUUUUGCUUAUGGUUUCCUUGCUGUGCAAAAGCUUAUGUUUGAUUAGGUCCCAUUUGUUUAUUUGUGCUUUUAUUUCUGUUGCCUUGGGAGACGUAUGAAAACAUCAGUACGAUCUAUGUCAGAGAAUCUUUUGCCUGUGUUCUCUUCUAGGAGUUUUAUGGUGUCAUGUCUUAUAUUUAGGUCAUGUCCUCUUUUUUUUAAAACAGCUUUAUUGAGAUAUAUUUCUUAUACCAUGCAAUUCCAUUUAAAAUGUACAAUUCACUGGUUUUUAGGCUGUUCACAGGAUUGUGCAUUCAUCACCAGAGUCAAUUUAGAACAUUUUCAUUACCCCGAAAAGAAACUGUACCCCUAAAUUAUCACCUCUCCAAUCUCCCCAUUUCCCCAGCCCCUGGCAACCACUAAUUUACUUUGUUUCCCUAUAGAUUUGCCUAUCCUGGAUCAUAUAAAUAGAACCAUACAAUAUGUGGCCUUUUGUGUCUAGCUUCUUGCACUUAGCAUGAUGUUUUCAAGGUACAUCUAUGUUGUAGCAUGUGUCAGUACUCUAUUCCUAUUCUUUGCCAAAUAAUAUUCCAUUAUAUGGAAAUACCACAUUUUGUUUAUUCAUUCAUCAUUUGAUGGACAUUUGUGUUAUUUCACUGUUUUAGCUAUUACGAAAAAUGCUGCAAUGAGCAUUUUUGUGUACAGGUUUUGUGUGGACUGUGUUUUAUGACUCUGUAAGCUGUAGUGACCAAGUCCUGUUUUUAAAAAUCUGAGAAAGGAAGAGAACUAAGUUGGUGUUUGAAAUUUAAAGGGACAGUUUCUAUGUGUAGAUGUAGAACUGCAUUCAAAAAGAUUAUCUAUCUAAUAUGAGGUUAAAAUCAAAUGGUAGUAGAUCUAAUUCUUCUCCAUAUCACUUGAGUUUUCUAAGCUCUUUCUUUUAAUAUUCUUGCUUAAAAAAACACAAGAGGGCUUCCCUGGUGGCGCAGUGGUUGAGAGUCCGCCUGCCGAUUCAGGGGACACGGGUUCGUGCCCUGGUCCAGGAAGAUCCCACGUGCCACAGAGCAGCUGGACCCGUGAGCCAUGGCCGAGCUGCACAUCUGGAGCCUGUGCUCUGCAACGGGAGAGGCCACAACAGUGAGAGGCCCGCGUACCGC
rnacentral:lncRNA from 1 species